rfam:Schistosoma mansoni strain Puerto Rico chromosome 4, complete genome
AUCCAGCUGAGGAGUCCCAAAUAGGACGAAACGCGCGUCCUGGAU